rnacentral:rRNA from 1 species
GACGAACGCUGGCGGCGUGCUUAACACAUGCAAGUCGAACGAUGAAGCCGGAGCUUGCUCUGGUGAAUUAGUGGCGAACGGGUGAGUAACACGUGAGUAACCUGCCCUUGACUCUGGGAUAACUGCGGGAAACUGUAGCUAAUACCGGAUACGACCCUCGGAGGCAUCUCCUGGGGGUGGAAAGAAUUUCGGUCAAGGAUGGACUCGCGGCCUAUCAGCUAGUUGGUGAGGUAAAGGCUCACCAAGGCGACGACGAGUAGCCGGCCUGAGAGGGUGACCGGCCACACUGGGACUGAGACACGGCCCAGACUCCUACGGGAGGCAGCAGUGGGGAAUAUUGCAUAAUGGGCGCAAGCCUGAUGCAACAACGCCGCGUGAGGGAUGACGGCCUUCGGGUUGUAAACCUCUUUUAGCAGGGAAGAAGCGAAAGUGACGGUACCUGCUGAAAAAGCACCGGCUAACUACGUGCCAGCCGCCGCGGUAA